rnacentral:rRNA from 1 species
GAUGAACGCUAGCUACAGGCUUAACACAUGCAAGUCGUGGGGCAGCGCAGUGUAGCAAUACACGGGCGGCGACCGGCGCACGGGUGCGUAACGCGUAUCCAACCUUCCCGUUACUCAGGGAUAGCCUUCCGAAAGGGAGAUUAAUACCUGAUGGUGUUUGAAUUCCGCAUGUUAUUCAAACUAAAGAUUUAUCGGUAACGGAUGGGGAUGCGUGACAUUAGAUAGUAGGCGGGGUAACGGCCCACCUAGUCUACGAUGUCUAGGGGUUCUGAGAGGAAGGUCCCCCACACUGGAACUGAGACACGGUCCAGACUCCUACGGGAGGCAGCAGUGAGGAAUAUUGGUAAAUGGUCGGAAGACUGAACCAGCCAAGUAGCGUGAAGGAUGAAGGUUCUAUGGAUUGUAAACUUCUUUUAUACGGGAAUAAAACCUCCCACGUGUGGGAGCUUGUAUGUACCGUAUGAAUAAGCAUCGGCUAACUCCGUGCCAGCCGCCGCGGUAAAAC